rnacentral:rRNA from 1 species
UACAGAGGGUGCAAGCGUUAAUCGGAAUUACUGGGCGUAAAGCGUGCGCAGGCGGCGCGUUAAGACAGGUGUGAAAGCCCCCGAGCUUAACUUGGGAAUUGCGCUUGUGACUGGCGUGCUGGAGUGUGGCAGAGGGAGGUGGAAUUCCACGUGUAGCAGUGAAAUGCGUAGAGAUGAUGGAGGAACACCGAUGGCGAAGGCAGCCUCCUGGGCCAGCACUGACGCUCAUGCACGAAAGCGUGGGGAGCAAACAGGA